rnacentral:rRNA from 1 species
GACGAACGCUGGCGGCGUGCCUAAUACAUGCAAGUCGAGCGAAGUUUUUCUGGUGCUUGCACUAGAAAAACUUAGCGGCGAACGGGUGAGUAACACGUAAAGAACCUGCCUCAUAGACUGGGACAACUAUUGGAAACGAUAGCUAAUACCGGAUAACAGUAUUUCUCGCAUGAGAGAUAUUUAAAAGUUGGUUAUGCUAACACUAUGAGAUGGCUUUGCGGUGCAUUAGCUAGUUGGUGGGGUAAAGGCCCACCAAGGCGACGAUGCAUAGCCGACCUGAGAGGGUGAUCGGCCACACUGGGACUGAGACACGGCCCAGACUCCUACGGGAGGCAGCAGUAGGGAAUCUUCCGCAAUGGGCGAAAGCCUGACGGAGCAACGCCGCGUGAGUGAAGAAGGAUUUCGGUUCGUAAAGCUCUGUAGUUAGGGAAGAAUGGAUAUGUAGUAACUAUACAUGUACGAGACG